CUAUAGGGUCAGGAAUACAUGUUUGCUGUUUUCUGUUGUGAUCCUGUAAAGACAGUCUUUACAGGAUCACAACAGAAAACAGCAAACAUGUAUUCCUGACCCUAUAG